AACGAACGCUGGCGGCAUGCCUAACACAUGCAAGUCGAACGAGACCUUCGGGUCUAGUGGCGCACGGGUGCGUAACACGUGGGAAUUUGCCUCGGGGUAUGGAAUAACUCAGGGAAACUUGAGCUAAUACCAUAUAAUGUCUUCGGACCAAAGAUUUAUCGCCCUGAGAUAAGCCCGCGUAGGAAUUAGCUAGUUGGUGGGGUAAAGGCUCACCAAGGCGACGAUCCUUAGCUGGUCUGAGAGGAUGAUCAGCCACACUGGGACUGAGACACGGCCCAGACUCCUACGGGAGGGCAGCAGUGGGGAAUAUUGGACAAUGGGCGGAAAGACCUGAUCCAGCAAUGCCGCGUGAGUGAUGAAGGCCU
rnacentral:rRNA from 1 species